rnacentral:rRNA from 1 species
AACGAACGCUGGCGGCAUGCCUAACACAUGCAAGUCGAACGAGACCUCCGGGUCUUUUGGCGCACGUGUGCGUAACGCGGGGGAACCUGCCCUUAGGUUCGGAAUAACUCCCCGAAAGGGGUGCUAAUACCGGAUAAUGUCUUCGGACCAAAGAUUUAUCGCGAUUGGAUGGGCGCGCGUUGGAUUAGCUAGUUGGUAGGGUAAUAGCCUACCAAGGCGACGAUCCAUAGCUGGUCUGAGAGGAUGCUCAGCCACGCUGGGGCUAAGACACGGCCCAGAAUCCUACGCAAGGGAGGAGUGGAGUAUAUUGGACAAUGGGGGAAGGCGUGAUCAAGCAGCGCCGGGUAAGUGAUGAAGGGCGUAGGGUUGUAAAGCUCUUUUACCCGGGAUGAUAGUGACGGUACCGGGAGAAUAAGCUCCGGCUAACUACGUG